rnacentral:rRNA from 1 species
UAGGGAAUAUUGCGCAAUGGACGAAAGUCUGACGCAGCCACGCCGCGUGAGUGAGGAAGGCCUUCGGGUUGUAAAGCUCUGUCGCCUGGGAAAAACGGCUAUCCGGGGAAAGUUCGGGUAGCGUGAUGGUACCAGGAAAGGAAGCACCGGCUAACUCUGUGCCAGCAGCCGCGGUAAGACAGAGGGUGCAAACGUUGUUCGGAAUUACUGGGCGUAAAGCGAGUGUAGGCGGUUUGGUAAGUCGGAUGUGAAAGCCCCGGGCUCAACCCGGGAAGUGCAUUCGAUACUGCCAAGCUAGAGUAUCGGAGAGGUUGGUGGAAUUCUCGGUGUAGAGGUGAAAUUCGUAGAUAUCGAGAGGAACACCGGUGGUGAAGGCGGCCAACUGGACGAAUACUGACGCUGAGACUCGAAAGCGUGGGGAGCAAA